rnacentral:rRNA from 1 species
UACGUAGGGGGCAAGCGUUGUCCGGAAUCAUUGGGCGUAAAGCGCGUGUAGGCGGCUCAGUAAGUCCGCUCUGAAAGCCCGGGGCUUAACCCCGGGAGGCGGGUGGAUACUGCUGAGCUUGAGUCCGGAAGAGGCGAGUGGAAUUCCCGGUGUAGCGGUGAAAUGCGCAGAUAUCGGGAGGAACACCAAUGGCGAAGGCAGCUCGCUGGGACGUGACUGACGCUGAGACGCGAAAGCUAGGGGAGCGAACAGG